GAUGAACGCUAGCGGCAGGCUUAAUACAUGCAAGUCGAGGGGCAGCAAGGUUAGCAAUAACUGUUGGCGACCGGCGCACGGGUGCGUAACGCGUAUGCAAUCUACCUUUAACAGGGAGAUAGCCCCGAGAAAUCGGGAUUAAUAUCACAUAACAUUCUUAUAUGGCAUCAUAAAGGAAUCAAAGCUGAGGCGGUUAAAGAUGAGCAUGCGUGACAUUAGCUAGUUGGUGAGGUAACGGCUCACCAAGGCGACGAUGUCUAGGGGUUCUGAGAGGAUGAUCCCCCACACUGGUACUGAGACACGGACCAGACUCCUACGGGAGGCAGCAGUAAGGAAUAUUGGUCAAUGGGCGCGAGCCUGAACCAGCCAUGCCGCGUGCAGGAAGACGGCCUUAUGGGUUGUAAACUGCUUUUGUCGGGAAUAAACCUGUUUAACGUGUAAACAGCUGAAGGCACCCGAAGAAUAAGCAUCGGCUAAACUCCGUGCCAGCAG
rnacentral:rRNA from 1 species